CGGGGGGCCCCGGCCAUCGGCGGCGCCCGGCCCCGAAGCGGCCGCGGGAGCCGGGGAAAAAAGGUGAAGAGCGAAGAAAAAAGUCUCGGGAGCCCGAGCGCGGGCGGCUUUUCCCCCCGGCCGCCUCCUUUUUCGGUUGAAUCUGAACGGGAGCAGCUGUUCACCCUAGCCGGAAAGGAGAUGUCAAAACCUGUUGCAUGGGCUUAGAUCUGAGAAAGCCUCUUCUUAGCACCCUAAAAUGAAAGAAAAAAAUCUUCCUAUACACUCUAGAAGAGAGAGCAGAUACUGGCUGCAAAGCCACGGCACGGGGCGAGUCAAGUUGCAGGGACUUGCGAGGGAAUCAGGCGAUCGGGCGAGGAGCUUUUUUUGGCAUUUGCGAAAGAGCUCGUUCACUGCAAUUAUAUUUCAGAGCAGGAGGCGCGAAUCGCCUGCCAAAGUUUGCCCCCAGUCCGACGGGAACAAUUUGCCUGGCCGCUGCCGUCUCUCCCCGGUCAGCCGCGGUGAAAGGCUUUACUUGGGCUCACCGAAACUUGUGUCCGGCCCCGCUGCCGCCAGGCGGAGAAGCCCGGGGUUCCAUCCCGGCCCCGGCCCUGGGGGUGACUUUGCCAAGGGCCCACUCGGGAAACGCCGCACCCCUCCGCACAGUCACUGCCGCGCACGAAGCAGCAUGCGAGAUCGUCAGUGUCAACACAAUCAUUGUGAAAGAUGAAUGAAAUAAA